rnacentral:rRNA from 1 species
UACAGAGGUCUCGAGCGUUAGGCGGAAUCACUGGGCUUAAAGCGUGUGUAGGUGGAUGCCUAAGUACCUUGUGAAAUCCCACAGCUUAACUGUGGAACUGCUUGGUAUACUGGGUGUCUUGAGUCACUCAGGGGCGAGCGGAACAAAUGGUGGAGCGGUGAAAUGCGCAGAUAUCAGGAGGAACACCAAUGGCGAAGGCAGCUCGCUGGGACGUGACUGACGCUGAGGCGCGAAAGCGUGGGGAGCAAACAGG